UACAGAGGUCCCGAGCGUUGUUCGGAUUCACUGGGCGUAAAGGGUGCGUAGGUGGUGAGGUAAGUCGGAUGUGAAAUCUCCGGGCUCAACCCGGAAAUGGCAUUGGAAACUACCUUGCUAGAGGAUUUGAGGGGGGAUUGGAAUACUUGGUGUAGCAGUGAAAUGCGUAGAGAUCGGGACGGAACACCAGCGGCGAAGGCGGCGACCUGGGCCAAUAUUGACGCUGAGGUGC
rnacentral:rRNA from 1 species